ensembl:snRNA U6 U6 spliceosomal RNA
GUGCUCACUUCAGCAGCACAUAUACUAAAAUUGGAAUGAUACAGAGAAGAUUAGCGUGGCCCCUGCACAAGGUUGACAUGCAAAUUUAUGAAGCUUUCCAUUAUAAA